AUCCUAGGGACAGCCCCGCAGCCCGCUCCCUUGGUGGGAGAUGAUCAGGAGAGCAAGAUGUUCUCGUGCUGCCUCCCCACAUCUUGAGGCUCCUGCUUCAGGAGGGCCCGGAGUGAGAGCCUUUUCUCACAAUGCCCACGCAGGCUCAUUCCUCAUCCCAGGCACCUGUGGCUGAAGGCACCCCCAGUGCCUCUUCCUGGGUUCACACUUCCAUCGUCUGGUGGAGAUGGGGCUUCCGGCACCAGCUUACUCAACAGCACCUGUCACCUGAAAGAGUCCUGACCAGCUGUGUCCCAUAACGUGCCUCUUCCUGGGUUCACAGUUCCAUUGUCUGGUGGAGAUGGGGCUUCCUGCACCAGGUUACUCAACAGCACCUGUCACCUGAAAUACUCCUGACCAGCUCUGUCCCAUAAUGGUAUGAUACAAUCCUCCUGUGACGCAUGGUGUCGUCACCACAUUAAAUAUAAAAAGAUAAGAAAAAUAAA